CAGGCCUAACACAUGCAAGUCGAGCGGAAACGGCAGUAUUGAAGCUUCGGUGGAUUUACUGGACGUCGAGCGGCGGACGGGUGAGUAACGGCUGGGAACCUGCCCUGACGAGGGGGAUAACCGUUGGAAACGACGGCUAAUACCGCAUAAUGUCUUAGUUCAUUACGAGCUGGGACCAAAGGUGGCCUCUACAUGUAAGCUAUCGCGUUGGGAUGGGCCCAGUUAGGAUUAGCUAGUUGGUAAGGUAAUGGCUUACCAAGGCAACGAUCCUUAGCUGGUUUGAGAGGAUGAUCAGCCACACUGGGACUGAGACACGGCCUAGACUCCUACGGGAGGCAGCAAUGGGGAAUAUUGCACAAUGGGGGAGACCCUGAUGCAGCCAUGCCGCGUGUGUGAAGAAGGCCUUCGGGUUGUAAAGCACUUUCAGCAGUGAGGAAGGUCGUGUACUUAAUACGUGCACGGCUUGACGUUAGCUGCAGAAGAAGCACCGGCUAACUCCGUGCCAGCAGCCGCGGUAAUACGGAGGGUGCGAGCGUUAAUCGGAAUUACUGGGCGUAAAGCGCAUGCAGGCGGUUUGUUAAGUCAGAUGUGAAAGCCCGGGGCUCAACCUCGGAACCGCAUUUGAAACUGGCAGGCUAGAGUCUUGUAG
rnacentral:rRNA from 1 species